GCAUUGGCAUAUUAAUUGGAGGAAGGUCAAUGGAGGCAAGUGCAAAGAUGUAGAAUAUAUGUCAAAUGUCAAACAAGUGGAGCUGACAGAACCAAGAAUAAAGCUGUGAGAAUGGAGCUUAAAAUGCAGCUCUUGGCAUGCUUUGACUGCUAGCCCCAGAAUGGAAUAAAUGAUAAAUUCAACAGACAACUUCAAAAUGAAGGGAUUGAGAAUAUUUUGAUUAUAGUCAGUCAUAAUGCUUGCCUUGUAGUUUCGUCACUGAAUAUGAAGCAUUGACAAAACUAUUGCCCUCCAACCCGUUAAAAUAAUGGCAUUCAGAAUAAUAGUAUACAUUAGUUUAAGUAAAGCAAAACUAGAUGACUUGAAAAGCAGCGACAACAAAGAGGCCACCACAACCCUUUGAAUGAUGGCAAAAAGAAUAC
rnacentral:lncRNA from 1 species